rnacentral:rRNA from 1 species
UACGUAGGGUGCAAGCGUUGUCCGGAUUCAUUGGGCGUAAAGAGCUCGUAGGCGGCUUGCUAAGUCAGGUGUGAAACCUCCAGGCUCAACCUGGAGCCGCCACCUGAUACUGGUAUGGCUGGAGUCCGGUAGGGGACCACGGAAUUCCUGGUGUAGCGGUGAAAUGCGCAGAUAUCAGGAGGAACACCGAUUGCGAAGGCAGCUCGCUGGGACGUAACUGACGCUGAGACGCGAAAGCGUGGGGAGCAAACAGG